rnacentral:rRNA from 1 species
CAGCCGCCACGGUAAUACGGAGGGUGCAAGCGUUAAUCGGAAUUACUGGGCGUAAAGCGCACGCAGGCGGUCUGACAAGUCAGAUGUGAAAUCCCCGGGCUUAACCUGGGAACUGCAUUUGAAACUGUCAGGCUGGAGUCUUGUAGAGGGGGGUGGAAUUCCAGGUGUAGCGGUGAAAUGCGUAGAGAUCUGGAGGAAUACCGGUGGCGAAGGCGGCCCCCUGGACAAAGACUGACGCUCAGGUGCGAAAGCGUGGGGAGCAAACAGGAUUAGAUACCCCAGAGUCCCUGUCUCUUAUACA